rnacentral:rRNA from 1 species
UACGGAGGAUGCAAGCGUUAUCCGGAUUUAUUAGGUUUAAAGGGUGCGUAGGUGGAAGAAUAAGUCAGUGGUGAAAGUCUGUGGCUCAACCAUAGAAUUGCCAUUGAUACUGUUUUUCUUGAGUACAGUUGAGGUAGGCGGAAUGUGUAAUGUAGCGGUGAAAUGCUUAGAUAUUACACAGAACACCGAUUGCGUAGGCAGCUUACUAAACUGUUACUGACACUGAUGCACGAAAGCGUGGGGAGCGAACAGG